UCAUUCUCGAUGAGCGCGUUGUAGAUAAUCUUCAGAUUGUAAUUCCUCUGCGCGUCCAGUGUCCUAUUCAGCACCACCACUAAGACCUGGGUUUGCGGGUAGAGGAAAAAACCGGCUACAGGGACAGCCCCGAACGCCCGGUCCUCGGCCAGCUGCACUUUCUCCACCGCCACUCGGGAAGCGUGCAGCACUACGUAGCGGGUGGCGUUCCGGCACGCGAUCUCCACGUUGACCUCCCCGGAGAAGGUGAAGUUCUCCAUGAAGGCGGUGAGCAUCAGAUUGUAGUGCAGCGGCUUCAGGUGGCCCGACAGGCGCAGCUGCGUCCACGGCUCCCACGGCUCCCGCUCCUCCUCCGACGGCGGCUGGGCCGACGUGGUCCCCGGACUGGCCACCCCACCCGCCUCGGGCUGCCAGGAGUCCCCGCCUGCGUGGUGGUUGCGCCGGGCCGAUCCAGGGAGGCUCCCGUUGCCGCCGCGCUCCGGAAAGCCUGAGGGGCCACCGUCGGCGCCUGGCGUGGCACUCGCCCCGCACUCGUCGAAGCGCAGGCUGAGCAGCACAGCGAGCAUUGUGACCGCGAGCAAUGCCACGAGGGACACAGCGAAGGCCAGCACAAGCCGCUUGUGUACGGCGAUGUGGCGCUCCGUGGUGCGGGGUCGCACUCCCACUGAGUCUGCCCACGGGUCGGAGAGCCCCCUGCUGCCAGCCCGAAGCGCGGCGUCGUCUUCCCCCAUCGCGGCUGCGAAGGGUGAGCUGCUCUUCUCGGCCCCCUCCUCCUCCUCCUCCUCCUCCUUCUUCUUCUUCCUCUUCUUUUUCUUCUUCUUUUUCUUCUCCUCCUCUUGCUCCCCCAGCUCGCCGUCCAGGGCCAUCACACCGCCUCCUCCUCCUCCCCCGCCCCCUCUGGCACCCCCCGCGGGCGGGCCACCCGGGCCACAGCCAGAGCAGGCAUCGGAGAGCUCACGCGGGCCGAGGGCGCGCGACUGGGGAUGCUGGCCCGGGUUCUUUUAAGACGGGUUCUGGACACAAGCGACGGCAGCUUCCGCGACCCCCAUCAGCCCCGCCUCACUCUGGACACCGGGCUGUGAGCUCUGGGACGCGCCCAACUUGGAAAGCGUCUUGCUUGCCCAGCGCGCGCUACUUCUCGGACGAGCACCCGGCGGCGGGGCACAUGCUGCCCCCGCCCCUGCGCGCCUGCGGCUCCCGGCUCUCCCUCCCCUGCGCCGCGCUCUCGCCUCGCUUUCCGCGGGAGCCUUCCAACCGGUUCUCGGCUAGGGAGAAGGACGGGAGCGGUGGGAAGAGCGAGGGUGUAGAGAGGGAAGUUAGGGCUUUCGCUUUCUCCCCCCACUCCAGCGGCGGCGUUCGGUCCUCUGGGUGGAAUGUGCUCGCAGCAGCAGUGACGGCGGCCACAGCACGGGAGGCACCCGAGCCAUACACCCUGCAGCUGGAGAGAAAAGGAUGGCCGAGGUGGGAGAGACUAGAGUGAACCAGCAGGAGGAAGUCCCAGGGCCGCGAAGCUACGACGGAGAUCCGUCCUGGAAAAGCCUUCUCCACCCUGGGCACUUUAAGCGGCGGUGGCGGCAAACGGCAGGAGGUUGCAGACCCGACAGCGAGACUCCCUCAUUCCAGUCUUGCUCUGCCCUCCGGAGAUGACAAGUGAGAAAGAAGUGUCCGGCCGGGCCAUCCCCUUCAGUUACCAAGAAUAACUGUAAAAUGUGCUGGGAAUGCAAUGUCCUGAGAUAAGGAAGAACUGCCUGAAACAGCCUGGAUCUUAUUCCUGUACUUCCUAGGGAAUGUAACAUCUCAAGUUAAAGAGGAACUGCCCGGAACAGCCCGGGGAUUGUUCCUCUCUCCUGAGAAGGAAGAUUACCUCCAAAGCUCAUCCACUGAGUCACACUGCCCCUGUGGUGGAGGGCGGGCUGCCUUUCCAGGUUCCUCAGCUGUGGUGUAACUGAAGCAGGCACAAUCAAGACUCCAUCUGCUCGAGGCAGCUUUCUCGAACCUUGGGGAACCUACUCACAAUGGAUCACAGGCUUCUUUUGUUUUGUUUCUUGCUGCCUAUCUGUAAGUAAUUAACUUGCUUCAUGUAACGUGUUGCAUAUGAGUGUGUUCUGUCUCAUAGACUCAGGGAAUUGGUAACACUGCAGCUGAGGACGCAGUGGACAGAAGUGUUCAGACUCCUGUUCCUUGUGGUUGACACAGUGAUGAUGAUCUCUUCUGUCCUCCACAGAGUGGAAGUCCUCUCUUGGGAUUGGUUAUUGGUGAAACCACUUCGCAAUUUAUUAAGAUGGCAAAAGCUUACGGAGGGACAGAUUUGAGGGGAAGAUCAAGAUUUUUCUGUCAGUAUUGCAAAUAGUCAAGAAUAUGUGGUCCAAGAAGUGAUCAUUAUCUUUGGCAUUGUGCAAGUCAUUAGUGACCUUCACAUGAACAGUCUCAGUGGAGUGUUGGAGGAAAAAGCCUAACUGAAGAAGGUUCAAGAGUGAAUGGAAAAAGAGCAGUAGUAUGUGGAGAGUACAGACAAGUAUUUCCAGGAGCCUUUCUGUAAAGAGUGGUAGAGAAUGGGACAUCAUUUUUGGAUGGGGGAAGAGUUAUUUAUAGCAUGUUCAUAUGCUAAUGGAAGUGAUCUACUCAUGGGGAAAAUCUUGAUGAUGCAAGAAAGAAAGGGAUUUGUUGGAAUCUUGUCCUAUAACGGGUGAGAGGGGAUGGGUUCUAGAAGAAAAGGCAUGGGUCUUUGUUUGAGAUCAGGCAAUUCAUCUGUAGGAACCAGUAGGAAGAUGGUUAAGUGGGUACCUGUGGUAGUGGAUGUUUGUGAACAUUCUUUUCUUUUCCAUUGUUUCUAUUUUCUCAAUAAAGUGGGAAGCAAAAAUCAGCUGAGUGAAGAUGAGGAAGAAGGUGUUAAAGGUUUGAAGAAAAAAGGAAAAGGAUAUACUAAUCUAAGAGGACAAGUAAGUAGAACAUAGAUAAUGAAAAUGCUGGCCCUUAGGACUGUUGGGCCUAAAUGCUCAUAUUAUAUUGGUAGUCACAAAUUUGAACUUUCUCUAGAGCCAAUUUUUGCAUGUGUGUGCAGGCCUGGAGUAGUUGGAGAGUUGGAUUUAAUAGAAUUGAGGGUCAAGCAACUACAACCAGGGAAGAGUGGGACAAGGGAGAUAAAGGAUAUUGGCAGGGGAGCAAUUAUAAACAUGGACCAUGAUCAAAACUGGACAGGAAGGAAAAUAGAGAUAAGAGGGGUGGAAGGUUAAAAAUAGUGAAAAUGAGAUAGAAUGAAUAGGUUGUAGGUCCCUGUAAAGUUGAAGAAGUAUUAUUAUGCAGUACUCGUUAUUGAAAUGAGGUCACUAUGCUUAAGGCACAGUGAAUCCUAGAAAAUAGUGGUUUUGUUUCUCAUUAGGCAAUACAUUCCUCCUUGCUCCAGAAUGCAACAUACAUGUAUCCUUUUCUGUACUAUUUUUUAUUAAGAAUUCAUACUUAAUUCCACUGACUGCCACUCAAUUUUAAUGUACAGUAGGGAAUUCCUGUACUAUGUAUUAUGAAUCCAUUCCUUUGAAUUUCAUUUAUAAUACUUCAUGACUGACACCUGGCUUUCCACCAAGACUCAAUUUUCAUAGCAAGCCUCAUCAUCAUAAGCCCCCAAAUUAACAGGAUGAGGAGGAAGAAUUGGCAGGCUAAAGAAGAUGAUUAUAUCAAUUAAUGCAGAAAAAGCAUUUGAUAAAAUCCAAUAUUCAUUUGUAAUUAAAAACUCUCAGCAAGUUAGGGAUAGGAAUUACUUCAACUUAAUGAAGAGUGUCUUUAAAAACCUUAUUUUCAUCAGUUAUAACAAAUGUACCACUCUGGUGGUGAAUGUUGCUAAGGAGGGAAGCUAUACAUGUGUGGGGAAAGGAGAUGUGUGAGCAAUUUCUGUACCUUCUACUCAAUCUUCUGUGAGACUAAAAUUGCUGUAAAAAAUAAAGUUCAUUUUUUUAAAAAC